rnacentral:rRNA from 1 species
UACGAAGGGGGCUAGCGUUGUUCGGAAUUACUGGGCGUAAAGCGCACGUAGGCGGAUACUUAGGUUAGGGGUGAAAUCCCGGGGCUCAACCCCGGAACUGCCUUUAAUACUGGGUAUCUCGAGUUCGAGAGAGGUGAGUGGAAUUCCGAGUGUAGAGGUGAAAUUCGUAGAUAUUCGGAGGAACACCAGUGGCGAAGGCGGCUCACUGGCUCGAUACUGACGCUGAGGUGCGAAAGCGUGGGGAGCGAACAGG